GACGAACGCUGGCGGCGUGCUUAACACAUGCAAGUCGAGGGAACCUCGCAAGAGGUGACCGGCGAACGGGUGCGUAACACGUGAGCGACCUUCCGUCUUCUGGGGGAUAGCCGGCCCAACGGCCGGGUAAUACCGCAUACGCUCUCUUGGUUGCAUGACCGAGGGAGGAAACUUCCGGGGGAGGACGAGGGGCUCGCGGCCUAUCAGCUAGUUGGUGCGGUCACGGCGCACCAAGGCGACGACGGGUAGCUGGUCUGAGAGGAUGGCCAGCCACAUUGGGACUGAGAGACGGCCCAGACUCCUACGGGAGGGCAGCAGUGGGGGAAUUUUGGACAAUGGGCGCAAGCCUGAUCCAGCCAUUCCGCGUGCAGGAUGAAGGCCCUCGGGUUGUAAACUGUCUUUUGUACGGAGCGAAAAGCGCUGAGCUAAUACCUCGGCGUCAUGACGGUACCGUAAGAAUAAGCACCGGCUAACUAC
rnacentral:rRNA from 1 species